rnacentral:lncRNA from 1 species
AUCGGUCAACUAUAUAUGUUGUAUAGAAGCAUUGUUAGCUGUACAUGUCUGCCUGGCAUGGUUCAUCUGACCUUGACCUCAUUUUCAAGGUUCAUUGGUCUAUGUUUAGUUAUCUUGUUUAAUGUUAAGUUUAUGUGACAGUUGUUAUAAAGCUUAGCUUUAUACUUAGGACUAUCAACAUAAUAUCAAUGAUUAGUAUAGAAGGCGAGACAUUUCAGCGUGUGCACUCUUGUUUACACCACCAUUUUCUGUCGUAUAUUGGUAUCAUGUCAUCGUCUGAAGACAGAUGGUUUCCAGAUAAUAACUUUAGUAUAAGUAAAUAGAAAUCAAUAAAAAUUGAAAACAAUGUUUAAAACCAUAAAAGGAAAGUCAGGAUUGAUUUUGGGGGUUAUGGUCCCAAAGGUAUAGGAAUUAGGGGCCCAAUACAAGCAUUUAUCUAGUUUCAGGACAAUAAGUUGUGUAUAAGUAUUUCAAUUGCUCUAAAAUUGCACCACAAUGCUUAAUACCACAAGAAGAAGGUUGGGAUUGAUUAUAUGACCGCAAAAAAAAUUUGCAUCAUAUAAUGGUAUCAUGUUGUCCGAAGAUGCAUUUAGUUUCCGGAUAAUAGAAUCUGAAAUCAUACCACCCGUUUCCAUACCAUGAAGGGAUGCUUAGUAAUGAAUUUAGGGGGUUAUGAUUCAAAUGUGUUGGAAUUGGGGGCGAAAUUAGGAGCAGAAAAAGGGGAAAAACUAGGUUUUCCGGACAAUAACUAUAAUAGAUUUAGUGAAUGGAUUUCUAAAAAUUUUAACCAAAAAGUUCAAUACCACUAAAGAAAGGAUGGGAUUGAUUUUGGGGGUUAGGGUCCCAAUAGUUUAGGAAAAAGGGGGCCCAAAAUAAGCAUUUUGUAGUUUUCAAACAAUCACUUGUGUUUAAGUGGAUGAAUCUCUCUGAAAUUAUACCACAAGUUUCCAUAUCAUUAAGGGAUGGUUAGUAAUGCCUUAGUGGGUUUAUGGCUCAAAAUGUUUUGGAAUUAGGGGGAAAUUAGGGUUUUCUGGUCAAUGGACAAUUAAGACAAUUUAAUAGCAGUGAAAGGAAGGUAAUUCAAAAACUGUUAACAUACAAUGUUUGGUAUGUUCGGAUUUACCUCCCGUACACUACUUGUAAAUAAUGUAUAAAAAAAUGUCGGGUUUGGGACCUAUUGCAAAAAAGGGGGG